rnacentral:lncRNA from 1 species
AGACUGCCUUGAAGAAAUUGAAGUUUGCAGCUUGGGCUGCUGCUCUCAUUCAUUUUAAUACAGACACGACUAACAUCUCAUCCAAAAUGUGAAACAUAGCUUUUAAUUUAGUACCAUGGGUUCCUGCAGGACUGAGUCGACACACUGGGAAAUAUGUCAAUUAAGCUUGUUUCCCAGGAAGAAACAGGGAGGUCUUGCAAACAACCCAGGAUAGAAGGAGCCCAGGUUUUGAAGGGGGUGUUCCCUACAUGCCAGAGCUAAGCACAGGGUUGGAGGCUAGGGAAUGGAAAAGCUUCCCAAUUCAGGCAUUUCUGGAAGCAGUUGUGGCUAUUUCAGGGGGAGCUACAAACACAAGGCAAAGAGUCUUUUGAUCCCACACUUCUGUGUGAGCUUCGGAGAGACAAUCUUCCGGAUCUGGUGGUGACUUUUAAAAAAAGCGUCUCUGGAAUCCAUCCCCAGGCAGGCAGAAUUCGGUCUGAAGAUGCUCCCCAAGAGCACCUCAAAGAGCACCAGCAGGCCUUCCUCGGCAGGGACCUCCUUUAUCCAUGAGCGUUCUCUUCCCAGCCUCAUGUCCCACGGGUCCCUCCACUCUCUCCCUGAAGUCAGAUGGCGCUGGGGUUUCCCUGCGGGAACCACCCGCACAUUCGUGAGUGGAGAGAGUGCCAGCCGGGAGUCAGGCUCACUUGACUGAAGCUCCGCUUCCCUCGCUCCCCACCCACCCCUUCCGCGGCUCAGCCUGGAUCCCGCUGCUCGAUUCUCCAAGUGCCGCGUUCAUGCUGGAAGCCAGCGUUCCCCACAGUGUCUUCUGUGAAGACAAAUCCUGGGAGACGUUGGCGUUCCGGGAGAAGAAAUCGAUUCCUCAAAAAUAAGCAAAUUUUUAAUUUAAGGUGAUGUUUCAAGGAGACGUCGAUAUAUUAACGUGCUUUGCGAGUGUUUAAGAGGAAGGGGUGAAGGGCAGGGUUCUCCAAAGUUGUUGGCUACCUGGAGACCGUCUCGAGGAGUUGGACUAGAACUUGGUACUCACGAUGAUAAGCAGUGACAGGCCAGGCGCGGUGGCUCACGCCUGUAAUCCCAGCAUUUUGGGAGGCCGAGGCAGGUAGAUCACUUGAUGUCAGGAGUUGGAGACCAGCCUGGCCAACGUGGUGAAACUCUGUCUCUAUUAAAAAUACAAAAAUUAGCCGGGAGUGGUGGCGCACACCUGCAACCCCAGCUGCUCCGGAGGCUGAGGCAUGAGAGUAGUUUGAACCCGGGAGGCAGAGAUCGCAGUGAGUCCAAAUCGCGCCACUGCACUCUGGCCUGGGCGACAGUGAGACUCCAUCUCAAAUAAAUAAAUAAAUAAAAUAAGUAAAUAAAUAAAUAAAUAAAUAAACAAACAAACAAUGACAACAUUCCAUGCUCCAGGAACUGGUCUCGGUGCGGUACUGAAGAUUGAUUCAACGGUGAGAACGUCAAGCACGUACUAGUCUCCACGGGCUUACACUGUGGAGGAAAAAAUAUAAACAAACAAACAAAAAUAGCUAUAUUAUACAGCAGGAAGUGAGAAGUGACUAGAAGAAAAGUCAACCCAGAUAAGAAAAGGAAACAAUUAUAAUAGAACUUGAAUAUUUUAUAUCUUUUCUUUUUACACAUUUUGACAUUUAUUAUGAAAAUGUUGCAAGUUGAGAUAAAAUUAUAACAAAUCCCCAUAUGCUAAUUACUUUUUAAAUUAUCUUGUUUAAUCUAUAGACGCACCAUUCGUUUCCUGGUGUAUUUUAAAACAAAUUACAGACACCAUUCUAUUUUAAAUAAUAAAUGGUUUAGCAUAUAAAUCUAACAAAUAAUGACUUUUUGACACAAUUGCAGUGGAAUUAUGGCCUCUAAAACAUUAACGAUAAUUACUUAAUAGUACAGGUUGAUUCCUUGUCUGAAAUGUUCGGGAUCAGAAUUGUUUCAGAUUUCAGAUUUGUGGGGAUUUUAGAAUAUUUGCGUAUACAUAAUGAGAUAUCUUGGGGGCGAGACCUAAGUCUAAACACGAAAUUUAUUUGUCCUUCAUAUGCACCUUAUAUGCAUAGCCUGAAGAUAAUUAUGUAUUUUCACUAAUUUUGUGCAUGAAACAAAGGUUGUGGACACGAGGUCGCGUAUGAAUUUCUUUACUUGUGGUAUCAUGUAGGUACUCAAAAUUUUACAAAUUUGGAGCAUUUUGGACUUGAUUUUUGGAUUAGGGAUGCUCAACUUGCAUCUAAUACUCGGCUAGUAUUAUUUUAAUAAUUUGCUAAUCACCUCAAAAUGUCUUUUAUUAUAGCCAGUGUGUUAGAGUGCAAAAAAAUAAGUAUUCACAUUGCAUUUAGUUGAUAAAUCUCUUACGUCUUACUUGGAAGGCAUUUCCCUCCCCGCUGCCACCGAACCAUCGUUUCUUCAAUGAAAAGGCAGAUUUGUUUUUCCUGUGUUUUUUUCUCCCAUUGUGAUUGGCUGCCUGCAUGCUAGAACUUUUAUGUAACAUGUUCAUCUCUGUACCAUAUAUCUUCUGUCAAUUGGUAGAUAGACCUACAGCCUUCAUUAAAUUUGGCUUCAUUCUUUAGGCAAAAUUAAUUCAUUGACUGUGUUUGAACUUCUUGUUGCACUGUAUCUGGAGGCAGGUAUUAUGGUUGGCCAGCACGGUCCCAUGGUGCCAAUCUCAAUCCUCUUUCAAAAAAUUGCCUCAGCAUACUUUGCUGCUCCUGAUCUAGGAGCUACUGGUCUAGGAGCAAUUUUAUUCAGGCUUUCGGAGUUAUGAUUUUCAAUUUCUACUAUUUCUUCUGCAUAAUUAGCCAGAAUCUUUCUAUGCAGAAGAAACCCUUCUAAAGAUUACAGCACUUUGGGAGGCCGAGACGGGCAGAUCACGAGGUCAGGAUAUCGAGACCAUCCUGGCUAACACAGUGAAACCCUGUCUCUACUAAAAAAAAAAAAAAAAAAAAAAAAUUAGCUGGGCAUGGUGGCAGGUGCCUGUAGUCCCACCUACUUGGGAGGCUGAGGCAGGAAAAUGGCGUGAACCCGGGAGGCAGAGCUUGCAGUGAGCCAGGAUCGCACCACUGCACUCCAGCCUGGGCAACAG